rnacentral:rRNA from 1 species
UACGAAGGGGGCUAGCGUUGCUCGGAAUCACUGGGCGUAAAGGGCGCGUAGGCGGAUCUUUAAGUCGGGGGUGAAAGCCUGUGGCUCAACCACAGAAUUGCCUUCGAUACUGGGGAUCUCGAGACCGGAAGAGGUGAGUGGAACUGCGAGUGUAGAGGUGAAAUUCGUAGAUAUUCGCAAGAACACCAAGUGGCGAAGGCGGCUCACUGGUCCGGUUCUGACGCUGAGGCGCGAAAGCGUGGGGAGCAAACAGG